GUGAGGAAUAUUGCACAAUGGGCGAAAGCCUGAUGCAGCAACGCCGCGUGAGUGAUGAAGGCCUUUGGGUCGUAAAACUCUGUCCUUGGGGAAGAAAAAAAUGACGGUACCCUUGGAGGAAGCCCCGGCUAACUACGUGCCAGCAGCCGCGGUAAUAAGUAGGGGGCAAGCGUUAUCCGGAAUUAUUGGGCGUAAAGAGUGCGUAGGUGGUUUUGUAAGCUUAGGGUGAAAGGCAGUAGCUCAACUAUUGUUAGCCCUGCGAACUGUGAGACUUGAAUGCAGGAGAGGAAAGUGGAAUUCCUAGUGUAGCGGUGAAAUGCGUAGAUAUUAGGAGGAACACCAGUGGCGAAGGCGGCAUCCUGGGCCAACACUGACACUGAGGCACGAAAGCGUGGGGAGCAAACAGGAUUAGAAACCCCAGUAGUCC
rnacentral:rRNA from 1 species